rnacentral:rRNA from 1 species
AGUGAACGCUGGCGGUAGGCCUAACACAUGCAAGUCGAACGGCAGCACCGUAAGAGCUUGCUCUUACGGGUGGCGAGUGGCGGACGGGUGAGGAAUACAUCGUAAUCUACUUUUUCGUGGGGGUUAACGUAGGGAAACUUACGCUAAUACCGCAUCCCACCUUCGGGUGAAAGCAGGGGAUCUUCGGACCUUUCGCGAUUGAAUGAGCCGAUGUCGGGUUAGCUAGUUGGCGGGGUAAAGGCCCACCAAGGCGACGAUCCGUAGCUGGUCUGAGAGGAUGAUCAGCCACACUGGAACUGAGACACGGUCCAGACUCCUACGGGAGGCAGCAGUGGGGAAUAUUGGACAAUGGGCGCAAGCCUGAUCCAGCCAUACCGCGUGGGUGAAGAAGGCCUUCGGGUUGUAAAGCCCUUUUGUUGGGAAAGAAAAGCAGCAGGUUAAUACCCCGCUGUUCUGACGGUACCCAAAGAAUAAGCACCGGCUAACUUCGUG